rfam:Canis lupus familiaris chromosome 31, whole genome shotgun sequence.
GGAAGUGAAGCUAAUCUAGCAGUGGCACAAUUUACUCCACUGGUUACCUGGGUUCAUUUAGCUGAUACACUUGUUUAGGUGGGUACCCCCUUCUUGCUUCACAACUUGAUGUAUACUAUUACACCCUCUUAAAAGAGACAAUCUUAAAAAAUAGAGAGAGCCCAUUCUUUAAUCAAGAUUAUAUAAGUAGCUGCAGAAUUCUGGUAAUCUUAUCAAUGCUAGCCUUCUCCCCAGAAAGGAAUUUUAUUAAUCUUGUGUCCUGAAACAAUGGGUAUGCUAUUGGUU